rnacentral:RNase_P_RNA from 1 species
GGUGCGGUAAGAGCGCACCAGCGAUGCGGGUGACCGCGUCGGCUCGGUAAACCCCACCCGGAGCAAGGCCGAAGCACGGACCGCUUGCGGUGCGUGUGCGCGGACGUGAUGAGGGCUGCUCGCCCCAGUCCGCGGGUGGGCCGCUCGAGGUACCCGGCGACGGUGUGCCCAGAUGGAUGGUCGCCACCGACCUCACGGUCGGGACAGGAUCCGGCUUACACGCCGACUCGUUCG